rnacentral:rRNA from 1 species
UACGGAGGGUGCAAGCGUUAUCCGGAUUUACUGGGUUUAAAGGGUGCGUAGGCGGGCAGGUAAGUCAGGGGUGAAAUCUUCGAGCUCAACUCGGAAACUGCCUUUGAUACUAUCUGUCUUGAAUAUGGUGGAGGUAAGCGGAAUAUGUCAUGUAGCGGUGAAAUGCUUAGAUAUGACAUAGAACACCUAUUGCGAAGGCAGCUUACUACGCCUAUAUUGACGCUGAGGCACGAAAGCGUGGGGAUCAAACAGG